rnacentral:rRNA from 1 species
AUACGUAGGGGGCGAGCGUUGUCCGGAAUUAUUGGGCGUAAAGGGCGUGUAGACGGUCAUAUAAGUUACAGGUGAAAGCCCAUUUUUCAAGGAUGGAACUGCCUGUAAGACUGUAAGACUUGAGUGCAGGAGAGGGAAGCGGAAUUCCAAGUGUAGCGGUGAAAUGCGUAGAUAUUUGGAGGAACACCAGUGGCGAAGGCGGCUUUCUGGACUGCAACUGACGUUGAGGCGCGAAAGCGUGGGGAGCGAACAGGAUUAGAUACCCUGGUAGUCCACGCUGUAAACGAUGGAUGCUAGGUGUGGGGGGUAUCGACCCCCUCCGUGCCGGAGUUAACGCAAUAAGUAUUCCACCUGGGGAGUACGUUCGCAAGAAUGAAACUCAAAGGAAUUGGCGGGG